rfam:Oryza punctata chromosome 11, whole genome shotgun sequence.
UGGGUUUGUCCUAAGUCAACCUUCUAUUCUUCUAUAAGUUUAACCAAGUUUUAUAGAAAAAUAGAUAGCAAUAUUUUCAACACAAAACAAAUAUAGUAUAAAAAUAGUCAAUGGUGGAUUUAAUGAAACUAAUUUGGUGUUGUAGAUAUUGCUACUUUUUUCUAUAAACUUGGUCAAACUCGAGAAGUUUGACUUAUGACAAACCCAA